CAGGGGAGCCCCCCACACUGCAGGGUCUCUGAAAGAGAGCAGGGGCCCCAAAGCAACAGGGGAGAACCCUCUGGUGCACGGCGAGCACCCUCUUGCUGGAGGUACAUGCAGGGGCCUGCUGUUCUGACAGCGGAGAGGUCAGUCAGGGAGAAAGGAAGAGGAGGGAGCUAGGGAGCCCAGGCCAGUGGCCAGCAGCAGACUCUUCUCACCGCCCGAGGUGCCAGGCCACCGCACAGAACACUUUCUAUUUUGGUUCUUCGAGGGAAAACGUGUCCAGUGUUUUGUGAGCUGGCAUUAGUUUCUUGGCGAAACAUCAAAUCACCCAGGUGACUCAGCCCC